GACGAACGCUGGCGGCGUGCUUAACACAUGCAAGUCGAACGGUAAGGCCCUUCGGGGUACACGAGUGGCGAACGGGCGAGUAACACGUGGGUGAUCUGCCCUGCACUUCGGGAUAAGCCUGGGAAACUGGGUCUAAUACCGGAUAGGACUCCGGACUGCAUGGUCUGGGGUGGAAAGCUUUUGCGGUGUGGGAUGGGCCCGCGGCCUAUCAGCUUGUUGGUGGGGUGAUGGCCUACCAAGGCGACGACGGGUAGCCGGCCUGGGAGGGUGACCGGCCACGCUGGGACUGGGAUACGGCCCAGACUCCUGCGGGAGGCAGCGGUGGGGAAUAUUGCACAAUGGGCGCAAGCCUGAUGCAGCGACGCCGCGUGAGGGAUGACGGCCUUCGGGUUGUAAACCUCUUUCAGCACAGACGAAGCGCAAGUGACGGUAUGUGCAGAGGAAGGACCGGCCAACUACGUGCCAGCAGCCGCCGUAA
rnacentral:rRNA from 1 species